rnacentral:rRNA from 1 species
GAUGAACGCUAGCUACAGGCUUAACACAUGCAAGUCGCGGGGCAGCAUUUCCUUAGCUUGCUAAGGAAGAUGGCGACCGGCGCACGGGUGAGUAACGCGUAUCCAACCUUCCCAUGUCCACGGGAUAGCCCGUCGAAAGGCGGAUUAAUACCGUAUGAGGUCACAUGCGGGCAUCUAAGUGUGACGAAAGGUUUUGCGGACAUGGAUGGGGAUGCGUCCGAUUAGCUAGUUGGCGGGUAACGGCCCACCAAGGCUACGAUCGGUAGGGGUUCUGAGAGGAAGGUCCCCCACAUUGGAACUGAGACACGGUCUAAACUCCUACGGGAGGCAGCAGUGAGGAAUAUUGGUCAAUGGACGGAAGUCUGAACCAGCCAAGUAGCGUGCAGGACGACGGCCCUAUGGGUUGUAAACUGCUUUCAGUCGGGAAUAAUUCGUCGGUCGUGACCGACGUUGCAGGUACCGUCAUAAGAAGGACCGGCUAAUUCCGUG